UACGUAGGGUGCGAGCGUUGUCCGGAUUUAUUGGGCGUAAAGAGCUCGUAGGCGGUCUGUCGCGUCGGAUGUGAAAACCCAGGGCUCAACCCUGGGCCUGCAUUCGAUACGGGCAGACUAGAGUACGGCAGGGGAGACUGGAAUUCCUGGUGUAGCGGUGAAAUGCGCAGAUAUCAGGAGGAACACCGGUGGCGAAGGCGGGUCUCUGGGCCGAAACUGACGCUGAGGAGCGAAAGCGUGGGGAGCGAACAGG
rnacentral:rRNA from 1 species